UAAAUUAAGACAAUGCAGGCAGGAAACCUAUCCCAGAGGGGAAAUGGCACCGCUGUUUAAAGACCAACCGGAAGUCACGUGGUUACUUUAGAAAUUUUUUUUACCCGACAGCAAAUAGCAGACGGGUUUGAUUAGGAACCUGAGUAAUUAGCAUGACUAGAACAAAUGGGUAUUAAGGGGCCAAACAUUGCUUCUCGCCUCAUUAAAAGAAUUACAAGCAAAAGUUUUUUGUUUCUAUCUGGCUUACUAUUAGUAAUUGGUAAUGAAUAUGUUUUACAUUUUGCCCACUAUCUCCAAUGGGCACCUAUCCCUGUGGAAACAAGACAUGAUGGAGACAUGGUGCUCCUCCUUGUUUCAGACCCACAAAUACAAGGUUACCAAAGAGAGCCAGCCUUUCCAGUAGGGUAUUUUUCACGAUGGGAUGCAGACAGGUAUAUAAGCCGUUCAUUUAGUAUGGCAUUUCUCCACUCCUCACCAGAUAUCAUUCUUUUCCUUGGUGAUCUAAUGGAUGAAGGUAGUAUCGCAACCAAUGAAGAAUAUGAGUUAUAUUACCAAAGAUUGCAGAAUAUUUUUCAGGAUGCUGCUGAAACCAAGAAAAUCUAUGUUCCUGGAGAUAAUGAUAUUGGGGGUGAAGGCUUUGACAGAAGAACAAGUGAAAAAAUAUCACGCUUUGAAAGAUACUUUGAAUAUUUAACUGGAGCUGUUAAAUUCCGAUUUGCUUCUUUUUUCAAGUUGGAUGUCCGUUUCUUUGAACCAUUUUUACCCAAGCACAAGAAGAUACUUCAAGAAGUUGGUGAAGAAAUUUACAUGCCAUUCCGAAUCAUUUUGAACCAUGAAUCAAUUUCUCCAAAGCUAAAGAGCCAUGUUUAUCCUUAUUCCUAUGUGUUGCAGCUGUUGAAGCCCAUUCGGCCACACAUGGUCAUAUCUGGUCACUGGCACAAGGCAAAUUUAUUCUUGUGUGAGGAUUGCUUGUCACAAGAAAAUGAUGAUGGUGAUUACUGGCCUGUGACAAGACGUGACCUCACAUCAGAAGAAAACUAUAUUGAAAUCAAUUCUGAUGAGAAAAGUACUUUAGUUGAGAUCAUGGUGCCUACCUGCAGCUAUCGGAUGGGUGAACCUAAGAUGGGUUAUGGUGUUCUGGUUAUAAAUGACAAUGGUAAUAUCAAGUAUAUGACACUGUGGCUGCCACCAAGAUACAUCUCGUUAUAUAUGUAUGCUGGAUAUGCAAUAUUCCUCUGCAUAGUAAUUAUCUGCCAGAUGCUAAGGAAGCUGUUUACAGCUAUGCGGCGAUUGCUAACCCGAACACAGGUCAGUCAUUAUGAGUGAUUAGUGAUUCACAAUGCAAUGCCUUAGUCUCGACAUCAAACUCUAUUGUUAAACCUUGAUAAAGAAUGAUGCAUUAUCACCAAGUCAAACCAAACAAGGAAAAACUGUGAUAUUAUUGCUUUGUUUUUUUUUUCAAACAAUUUUAUUAUUUUCAAAAAUUCUAGAAAAUCGUUUUAUUCUCUAAUACAUUCCAUGUUUUUUCUAGAAUCUAUGUAAUCCAUAGAAUGCAACAUAAGCCAAGAUAUUUCUUUUCUUAUAUAUGGACAUCAUAUAUCUUCUCUUCCAAAAUUCCUUUUUAUCUAUAUUUUUUGUUUAUUGCAUAGGUCUGCAAAAUGAAACAUUUUGAUAAUUGUAUGUUACUCUAUAUAUUUUUGUGGUGCUAAUUCAAGAUAUCAAAAAAUCACUUUCCUUUACCUAAGGUUUUCUCACAACUUAAUAAUAGAAUCUACCAUAAUUUGUAGGUAAAUCUGCAAAUGUUAGGACAAAAUGAAGCAAAUAAAAAUUAAUUUGGUACUUUAUUGAGCAAAAUAAAAUGGCACAAAUGCAAUUGAAGUAUAAGAAAGUAGAUUUUUACAAUAAGUUCCAUUCAUCUUUUGGUUCAGCACCUGAAAAUCUCUUCUUUUCCACUUGGGAGUUAUACCUGAAACUCUUUCACUUGUGAGCAUCUGGACAUUCCUAUUGACAUCAAAUUGACAUUCCAUCUUCCCUGAUAUUCUUUCCAUCUCCUUUAUGUCAUGAUGAAACCUUUUUCCUAGCUCUUUACUCACAUUACUCAGAUUUUCCAGAAAGAAAUCCUAAUGGGCAUUUAGGAAAUGAACUUUAAUGCAUAUUUUACAUCCUAAGGCCUCCGAAAUUCCCAGUAUUCUUCCCACUAUGUCUUUGUAUUUUGGAUCCUUGUGAUUACCCUAGAAGUUCUUCAUCGCUUCAUUAAAACUAAUCCAUGCAUCUUUAUAAGAAUCACUAAGAGAAAUUUUCAAAGUUUUCGUCCUUGACAAAUUUCUUAUAUCUGAAAAUACACCCUCUUCAACCUGGACACUUGCUAUAGAAAAAACUUGAAGCCCUCUCCAUCCUGUGGGAAAGCUUUUAUGAAUUGCUUCAUGAGACCAUUUAAUCUUGUGUAAGAAGACACCAAAUUUUCAUGUUUCCUUCAUGAUCACUAAGUGUCCAACAGGGAUGGAAGCAUAUUUAUUAUCAUUUCUUCAAAAAGUCAGUAGAGAGUUUCCAUUUAUCAGGCUGUAACUUAUGCUAAACUUUCCUAUUAGACCUGAUGGAUCUGUUCAAUAAUCCAAAUUAUUUUCUAGAGUGAAAAAAAGGAACAAAUUCUAUCACAGUUAUGACACCAACAGAAUGAUGCAUGCUGUUAUUGUUGAGGCCUGUUCAGUCCAUUAUAUUACUUUCCUUACAAAAUUAGCCUCAAAAUCAUUUAUCCUCAUUAUCUCAAUGGCUUCUGAAUAAGGCACAAGGCUAAUAAUACCAUCAUGUCCAUUAUUUGGCUGGUACUCUAUUUCAAGAGUCCCAAAAUGAUGAAAGGCAAAAUUAACCUUGGCAGGUUUUGAGCUCAGAAUGUUAGCAGAAAUGCUACUAAGCAAUUUUUCCAAUGCUCUAAAUGUUCUGCCAGCUUACUCACUGCUGCCUUUAUUGUCAUUAUCUUAAUAAUGAGUGAGUGAGUUAACAGAACUGGUAGAGUGCUUGACAAAAUGCUUUGUGGCAUUUAUCCCUUGAUUGGCCCUUUAUUGUGUUCAGCUUACACUAGGGUCAACUUUACCUUUCUGCUUUCCAAAUCAAUAAAACCAUCAACAAUUGGAGUUGAUACAACUAAUUAUAGCCCUCCCACAUGAUCUUGAAAAAACAUGGCAAAGUUUGUAGGGUGACAAGCAAAAUAAAAUGUCCUGAAGGAUUUAGUUGUUACUUUAUAUUCCGUGUUCAAAUCUCAUCAGAGUCAACUUUGGUUUUCAACCUUCCUGGGUUGAUAAAAUAUAGUACCAGCCAAAUCCUAAGAUCAAUAUAAGCAAAUCUUGUUUUUCAUUUCAAAAGUGUAGUCUUGUGCCAAUAUUAGAAAUCAUUAUUAUUGUAAGCAUAGCUAACAAAAAACAAGAGGUAACCUCCUGAGGAGAUAAGUCUACUCACCUCAGGAAAGGUACAAACAUCACGUAAACCUAUUCUCUUCACCAAUAAAAUAUAUGGCCUUAUCCUUAAUUAAGGAGUAAAAAUAUGGUUUCUUUAAUUAAUUUAUGACUACUUUUUUUAUUAUAAUGAUUAUACUAUUGUUAUUGAUUAGAUAAGCUUCACACAUUGAAAAUCAUCUUUACUCCUCAAUAUUAUUAGUUCCCCACUCUAACAGAAUGUAAUUCCAAAUAAAAGUAGAGAAUAUCCUUCUAAGAAAGUGUAUUGUAGAGAUUAAUUUAAAAAGCUGAGACACACAAACAUUUAUUUGAUUUAGUGACAUACUAUGCCUGCAUCUCUUGUUGAAGUACUGCACAAUCAGUGAUAGUCUUCAUCGAUUACUGAUAGAUAAACCUUAUUGGCAGCACAGACGUUAUGCCUUUCAUUUCAGUGGUUCAGGUUUGACACAACAAUGAAAUACUACCACUUUCACUGGUUCAAGCACACAGAAGGUAUAGUGUAAAGAAGGGUAGUGAUUCUCUGUUUCCCUGCAUGGAUGUGUCUUCUGUAGAAGUGUUGUAUGGUCAAAGUCAUUGACUAUACCGAUCACCAAUGGAUAAACAUAACUUUAGAAAUCUUCAUCUUUUGGCUUCUUUAUUUCUGUCCCUUUCUUUUAUGUAUAUAUUUUGUAGUAGUUACUAAGUCAUUGUUAAAUUUCAUAGAUGAGUUACCAUUAAAAAAUGUGUUAAUAUAUCUCCUGCUUCUUGAAUAGAAAAAUAUUUUUUGUCUCUAAUAUAUUAUAUGCCAUUUGCUAAAACUUUAAUAACAGACAAGCUACAUAUAAUGUAAGAAGUUGUUACAUUAUUUAAUCUGAAAGCUUAGUUUUUACCAGUUAGGAUAAAAGUCACUUUUUAUAGAUGAUUAUGAGGAAUGUGCCAAAACUAUAACUUUAAAAUGCAGCUACAUAGACUUCAGGUAAAAGAAUGAGAUGUUGAGGCAAGUGAACACAGAGACAUUUAGAUAUGUUACAUAUAAAGUGAAUCUGAUAAAAGGAAUUUCAUGCAUUUGUUGGUUCUUAUUUAUCAAAACCUCCAAAGAACUUCUUUUUUUUUUAUAUCUUUAAAGAUUCAAAAAAUUUCUAGAUUUAUAUAUGUUUCUCAUGAUAUUUGUCUUCAAAAUCUCUUUUUUGAAAAUUUUUUCAUUUAUUAAUUUCAUAACUGUAGACAAUGCGAAUCAUAUAUUCAACAAUAUUUAGGUGAUAACACUAUUAAUAGCAUCUCUAUGUUACUAAUGUAACUCUUUGAAAAAUGUUAACUCAAUCCUGAAAGUUAAUGAAACAUGUGUUAGUCAUAGCAUGACUAUUAUUUAAAGCAGAGAAUUGUUUCCCUGUUGUACCUAUUCAUAGCUUAGUGAUAACAAAUCACUAGUUAAGUCUCACAAAAUUUGAUAUUAAAAAGCAGUUAUAUCCCAAACAUCAUCCAUUCAUUAUACCAAUAAACAAAAGAUACAGAUAGAAUAAGUAAUAGGCUUACUGAUAAAGUCCUGGGGUUGAUUUGUGCAACUAAAAGGCAGUGCUCCAGCAUGGCUGCAGUCAAAUAACAAACAAAUAAAAGUAUAUGUAUAUAUAUAAACAAAACAUUCAAACACUAAGGUUUGAAAUAAGAUGUCACUAUUGUUAAUAUCAUCUGUGGAUAAAAUUAAAAAUUGAUGGUAUCAACACUAGUAACAUAGGUUUGCAGGCAAAAAGCAUUAUUUAGCUAUAAAUUACAAAUCAGCACAAAGCAUAAGGAUGCAGAAAAGCAUCAACCUGCUAGAAAUAAGAGCUAAAGUCUUAAUUAAACCACUGUAAAGCACCAAGGAAACAGAGAAAUAACAGUAGGUGAGGAAACAGAAAGAAUUACUACAUUCAAAAGCACAACUAUGAAAGAUUACGCCAUUUAGGACAUCUACAUACCUGAGUUUCAGCUUUUGGAAAUUUAAUCCUUGAGCCUCUUCAGUGUAGACCACCUAAUAAAAAUUGAAGACCGUCGCAUUAUAUUCCAUUAGUGUACUGGUUUUGUUUUGUAUAAAAGUAUGCAUACUGUCUUAAAAGGGUAUGUCUGUUUAUAGCUCUUCUAAUAUAUAGUUAUAUAUACAUGUAUAUUACUAUAUAUUUAAUAUACAUAUAUAACCAAUAGAAUUAACAAAUAUAAUAUUUGUAAUAUUUCUUUGCACUUUGUAUUAUUAUUGAUAUUUCAGUUUUAGAUAUAUUAUAUAAGGACUUUGAAAAAUUGCAUUUUUCCAAGUCCUUUUAUUGUUUGGGAUUAAAUGCAGUAAUUUCUGCAAAUCUACAGAUCUUUCCAGUCUAUGCUUCCAUAAAUUUAAGAGAUCCACAUCUCUUCCAUUUUCCUGUCUAUGGUUGGUAGAUGACACCCACAAGAAAAAGUCAAAGACUGCACUGUAAGCCAACAAAUAAAAUUGCUAUUUUUAUGUACAACAUUCCCUCUGCUUACAGCUGUGAGACUCUACCAUGAUGUAGUAUCUAUUUACAGCUCGGUGAACUGGGCUUUCAGUUGCUAUGGACCAGUAAAAUUAUAUAAGCUUGAAUGGAGCUGUUACAUUUCAGUAAUUAGCUUGUUAGAGAAUUAUAAAUAUAUCUAUCAAUGUUUCUCUCCACAAUAAGACAACCUUCUUUCCUUUUUUGGAUUUUAAAGAUUAUCUUUGUAUUAUUAUAAAGUUUACUGAAGAAAUUUUUUAUAACUUUGUUUCACUCAUCGUUUAAUUUCAUACUUUUAUGCAUGUUUGCCCAUUUGUCUUUUGAAUCUCUGAUACCAUUCUUAUAUUCUUCCAUUCUGAUUGGACAAAAAUUUCCAUUAAAAACUUUAUCUCUAAAAGCCAUUUUAAGCAACUUCCAAUUUACCACUGUUCUCAACUUUGCUUAUCUAUUCUAAAUCUACAGUUCCUACUUGAGAGAAUGGAUGCCUUGGCACAUAAUGCAAUAAGUAAUAUUGCAGGUAGAAUAACAGAAAUGUCUCCUUGGGCUCGAGUAAAAAUAAAACAAGUUCUACUCUAUGUUAGAGUGAAUAUGUUUAACAAUUAAAUGCAGCCAAUUUGUUAGGUUAUGUACUGAAUCAUAAAAAAAAUGACCAUAUUGGCUGAACAAACAACUCACUGUUAUUGUACCAACACACAGGUGAGUGUAUAAUAAAUCAUAGCAAGCAAUCAUGUCUAAAGAAGAAAAAAUAGACACGACAAUAUUGCUCUAAAUAUAUUUUUCUGUUUCAACUUUUACAGUUUUGUUCACAAUCUGACUGAGUCCUGCACUUCCCCGAUCAUAUAUAGAUGUAGAUAUAUGCGCACACACACACACACACACACAUACACCACAGUAACAAACCAAAUUAAUUUUGGUUGGUUUUGGGGGAAGGCUAGGGUACUGCUUCUGUUGUUUGGUGUCAAGUCUUUAAAUUGUUUAUACAAUCUUGCAGUUGAAAGUAUUAAUUAUUAAUAAAAAGUAUUCUUGUUAUAAAUUUCAAAAAUGACAAUAUUUAUGGAAAAUGUGAUGUACUCCAAGAUGUAAAAUAUGUAUAAAAAAGAAAAUUUUAAAUAAAUCAGAAUACCACAAAU
rnacentral:misc_RNA from 1 species